rnacentral:rRNA from 1 species
CCUACGGGAGGCAGCAGUGGGGAAUAUUGCACAAUGGGCGCAAGCCUGAUGCAGCAACGCCGCGUGAGGGACGACGGCCUUCGGGUUGUAAACCUCUUUUAGCAGGGAAGAAGCGAAAGUGACGGUACCUGCAGAAAAAGCGCCGGCUAACUACGUGCCAGCAGCCGCGGUAAUACGUAGGGCGCAAGCGUUAUCCGGAAUUAUUGGGCGUAAAGAGCUCGUAGGCGGUUUGUCGCGUCUGCUGUGAAAUCCGGAGGCUCAACCUCCGGCCUGCAGUGGGUACGGGCAGACUAGAGUGCGGUAGGGGAGAUUGGAAUUCCUGGUGUAGCGGUGGAAUGCGCAGAUAUCAGGAGGAACACCGAUGGCGAAGGCAGAUCUCUGGGCCGUAACUGACGCUGAGGAGCGAAAGGGUGGGGAGCAAACAGGCUUAGAUACCCUGGUAGUCCACCCCGUAAACGUUGGGAACUAGUUGUGGGGUCCAUUCCACGGAUUCCGUGACGCAGCUAACGCAUUAAGUUCCCCGCCUGGGGAGUACGGCCGCAAGGCUAAAACUCAAAUGAAUUGACGG